rnacentral:rRNA from 1 species
CAGCAGCCGCGGUAAUACGUAGGGUGCGAGCGUUAAUCGGAAAUACUGGGCGUAAAGCGUGCGCAGGCGGUUAUAUAAGACAGAUGUGAAAUCCCCGGGCUCAACCUGGGACCUGCAUUUGUGACUGUAUAGCUAGAGUACGGUAGAGGGGGAUGGAAUUCCGCGUGUAGCAGUGAAAUGCGUAGAUAUGCGGAGGAACACCGAUGGCGAAGGCAAUCCCCUGGACCUGUACUGACGCUCAUGCACGAAAGCGUGGGGAGCAAACAGGAUUAGAUACCCCGGUAGUCCCUGUCUCUUAUAC